rnacentral:rRNA from 1 species
AGUCGAGGGGUAUAGUUCUUCGGAACUAGAGACCGGCGCACGGGUGCGUAACGCGUAUGCAAUCUACCUUUUACAGAGGGAUAGCCCAGAGAAAUUUGGAUUAAUACCUCAUAGUAUUACGACUCGGCAUCGAGAUGUAAUUAAAGUCACAACGGUAAAAGAUGAGCAUGCGUCCCAUUAGCUAGUUGGUAAGGUAACGGCUUACCAAGGCUACGAUGGGUAGGGGUCCUGAGAGGGAGAUCCCCCACACUGGUACUGAGACACGGACCAGACUCCUACGGGAGGCAGCAGUGAGGAAUAUUGGACAAUGGGCGCAAGCCUGAUCCAGCCAUGCCGCGUGCAGGAUGACGGUCCUAUGGAUUGUAAACUGCUUUUAUACGAGAAGAAACAACUCUACGUGUAGAGUCUUGACGGUAUCGUAAGAAUAAGGAUCGGCUAACUCCGUGCCAGCAGCCGCGGUAAUACGGAGGAUCCAAGCGUUAUCCGGAAUCAUUGGGUUUAAAGGGUCCGUAGGCGGUUUAAUAAGUCAGUGGUGAAAGCCCAUCGCUCAACGGUGGAACGGCCAUUGAUACUGUUAGACUUGAAUUAUUAGGAAGUAACUAGAAUAUGUAGUGUAGCGGUGAAAUGCUUAGAGAUUACAUGGAAUACCAAUUGCGAAGGCAGGUUACUACUAAUGGAUUGACGCUGAUGGACGAAAGCGUGGGUAGCGAACAGGAUUAGAUACCCUGGUAGUCCACGCCGUAAACGAUGGAUACUAGCUGUUGGGAGCAAUCUCAGUGGCUAAGCGAAAGUGAUAAGUAUCCCACCUGGGGAGUACGU